UACGUAGGGGGCAAGCGUUGUCCGGAUUUAUUGGGCGUAAAGAGCGUGUAGGCGGCCUGACAGGUCUGCUGUGAAAACUCGAGGCUCAACCUCGAGAUGUCGGCGGAAACCGUCUGGCUAGAGUCCGGAAGAGGAGAGUGGAAUUCCUGGUGUAGCGGUGAAAUGCGCAGAUAUCAGGAAGAACACCCGUGGCGAAGGCGGCUCUCUGGGACGGUACUGACGCUGAGACGCGAAAGCGUGGGGAGCAAACAGG
rnacentral:rRNA from 1 species